CCUACGGGAGGCAGCAGUAGGGAGUUUUCGGCAAUGGGGGAAACCCUGACCGAGCAACGCCGCGUGAGGGAUGAAGGUUUUCGGAUCGUAAACCUCUGUCUUCAGGGACGAUAAUGACGGUACCUGAUGAGGAAGCCACGGCUAACUACGUGCCAGCAGCCGCGGUAAU
rnacentral:rRNA from 1 species